AUUGAACGCUGGCGGCAGGCCUAACACAUGCAAGUCGAGCGGAUGAAGGGAGCUUGCUCCUGGAUUCAGCGGCGGACGGGUGAGUAAUGCCUAGGAAUCUGCCUGGUAGUGGGGGAUAACGUCCGGAAACGGGCGCUAAUACCGCAUACGUCCUGAGGGAGAAAGUGGGGGAUCUUCGGACCUCACGCUAUCAGAUGAGCCUAGGUCGGAUUAGCUAGUUGGUGGGGUAAAGGCCCACCAAGGCGACGAUCCGUAACUGGUCUGAGAGGAUGAUCAGUCACACUGGAACUGAGACACGGUCCAGACUCCUACGGGAGGCAGCAGUGGGGAAUAUUGGACAAUGGGCGAAAGCCUGAUCCAGCCAUGCCGCGUGUAUGAAGAAGGUCUUCGGAUUGUAAAGCACUUUAAGUUGGGAGGAAGGGCAGUAAGUUAAUACCUUGCUGUUUUGACGUUACCGACAGAAUAAGCACCGGCUAACUUCGUG
rnacentral:rRNA from 1 species